rnacentral:rRNA from 1 species
CACGUAGGGGGCGAGCGUUGUCCGGAUUUAUUGGGCAUAAAGAGCUCGUAGGCGGCUCGGUAAGUCGGGUGUGAAACCUCCAGGCUCAACCUGGAGACGCCACCUGAUACUGCUGUGGCUAGAGUCCGGUAGGGGAGUGUGGAACUCCUGGUGUAGCGGUGAAAUGCGCAGAUAUCAGGAAGAACACCAGCGGCGAAGGCGGCACUCUGGGCCGGAACUGACGCUGAGGAGCGAAAGCGUGGGUAGCAAACAGG